UACGUAGGGUGCAAGCGUUGUCCGGAAUUAUUGGGCGUAAAGAGCUCGUAGGCGGUUUGUCGCGUCUGCUGUGAAAUCUGGGGGCUCAACCCCCAGCCUGCAGUGGGUACGGGCAGACUAGAGUGCGGUAGGGGAGAUCGGAAUUCCUGGUGUAGCGGUGGAAUGCGCAGAUAUCAGGAGGAACACCGGUGGCGAAGGCGGAUCUCUGGGCCAUAACUGACGCUGAGGAGCGAAAGCAUGGGGAGCGAACAGG
rnacentral:rRNA from 1 species